UCACUCUUGACGGAAGUGGGUAUAGGGGCGAAAGACCAAUCGAACUGCCUGGUAGCUGGUUCCGGCCGAAAUGUCUCUCAGGACAGCGGUGUCUGCGAAUAGGAAGAUGCGGUAGAGAGGAUGUCGACCUUGUCAACAAACUCCGAAUGCGUCAUUGUGUUGCGAUUGCAUCCAACAUGAUCAUCUAUAAGACACUAGUGGGCGCCUUGUGGUAAGCAUGCGGCGCAAAAAGGGAUGAACCUAGCAGUGGGGUAAGGUGCCUAAAGGAAAACAAAGAGAAAAAGCGUUUGGCAGAUUAGGACAGUGGGGCGGUGGCCAUGGAGGUCGGCAUCCGCUAAGAAACGUGUUACAACGUACCCACCGAAUCUGCGAAUGCUGAAAAUGGAUGGCGCUUAUUUCCAUACCGAGCCCCACAUGGUACAGCCACGUAGGCCGGCACGUGUGCAUCUGAGAAGACCCGCCGUGAGGUGUGUUGGAGAUGUUCACGGAGCAGAUCUUGGAAGUAGUAGCAUCAUUUGUAUGUGCCAAUGGAGGCGGGUUUGUCCUUUUAAUAGAAGGAAGUGAUACGAGCCUAGUAAAAGGGAAUAUAGUAGAUAUUCUAUAUAGAUGUACCUAUGUGGCGACACGACAGCGACCCCAACGACGUGUGCCGGUGAGAAUUUUCCGGGACACCCAGAUCUUAUGAGCGUCACGCUGAGACUAAGAACGAGUUGGGCGGUGAAAAUGAAGGAACAUCCUCGUACCGAACCGCAACAGGACUCCUAGGUGAGAAGCCUAAGGCAUAAUUGUAAUGUGAGCAAGGGAAAUCGGCUAAAUGGAUGAAAAACCUCGGGAUAAUCAUUGGCUCUAGCAUGCUAGAACUGGGCUUACAGGGGGAUCUGACUGUUUAAUAAAAACAUAGCUUUGUGUGUACGCAAAGUGAAUUCUGCCAGUGCUUGGGACGUUAAGGAAUUAAUUUUAAGUACGCCCUGGUAACCGGGGGGGUAACUAUGACUCUCUUAGGGUACCCAAUGC
rfam:Enterocytozoon bieneusi H348 ctg01_65, whole genome shotgun sequence.